CAACCUAAAAAAUGUAUUAUCAACCUAAGAAAUGGAAAAGUCAAAGGACAGCUGAGAAAACUUGAAAGGAGAGCAGGGGGCUUGAGAAAAGGGGGAAGAAGGCUUAGCAGCACUGUGUGUUCGUCUUUGGUAGGAUCAGGAGUACUGUCAGAAGUUGAGGGAACAAGCACAGAGGUAAGUAAAUGAUUGAAGGCUGAAAGAUAACCAACCAGUGCAGGGAGGAGAUAGAAAAGCCAAACCAAAUGAACACUCCCUGUGUGUUUUUUUUUUUAAUUGAGAUAUGGAAUAUAUGCAAUGAUAUGCAUGCAUUGCAUAAUCUUAAGUAAACAGCUUGAUGAAUUUUUACACGUGUGUAUAUCAGGGCAACCAUCACCCAGAUUGAGAUGUAGAACAUUGCCAGCACUCCAAAAAAUUCCCUCGUGCUUCUUUCUCAUCAAUCCACUUCCUCUUAGAAGUAGCUUCUGUUCUGACUUCUGCAUCAUCCAUCUGUUUUGUCUGUUCUUGAUCUUCAGAAGCUGCCACCAGCAAAACCAGUUGUUUUAAUGGCUGAGAACACCCUUGCUGCUGGCCUGAUUUUCUGUGAUGAUGGCAACAACCUGAUUCCUGGAGGUAAAACUCGACUCUCUCUCUCAAGAUGCUUGCAUUACCUGUUUCCAUGGGCAUAAGAAGAGUCUCUGGCUGGGAUAUCAUGGAAGAAGUUUCUGAACUGGUAGACUUCUGACAAGAUUAACGACCCCCAGGUUUUCUCCUAAUUUCAAGAUUCAACAAAAGUUCUGGAAUGUUCUUGGGUUGAUUUUGUUUUGUUUUGUUUUAAUUCCACAGCCUUUGGCAUUCCAGUUCAGAGGACAAGUCUGAUAGUCUCCAUUCCUUUCAUUUUAUCAACUCUUAACAAAAGCUACUAGGCUCAGGCCAAAGGGGUAUUUUGACAUGAACAAUGCUUCUCAGGAAAAGAAGUGCCCAAAUUUUUAUCCUGUUAUUUGAGUGAAAGUUCUAAGUCCUUCCCUGAUGUUCCCUGGAAUUGUGAUUUAAUGACUAGUCACACCAGAACGGAACACAUGUUUCUACUUGCAAGAUUAUUAAGCACAUUACACAGUUCCAUUAUUGCCUUCCUGAGUCACCCUGCAUGUACUAGUGUCUGCGUAGAUUGCUUUUCAAAGGGUUUAAUAGAGAAAAGUGUUAGAAUACGUGUAAUUAAAUUCACUUAUUUUUACUUUAGCUUUUAAUUAUUUUUAAUGUAUUGACCACAGAGUAAGGAGAAAGUAUAGUAAAGAAAAAACAAUAUCAGCACUUAAUGUGGAAGGUUAUUGUUAUUGUUUUACUAAUAGAAUUUUGAGUUACAUAAGUGAACUGGAUAUACAUCAAUCAACAAUUUUCUCUAACAGGGAUUCUUACGUUUUGAAGUAUUUACCUUUAGAAAAGUAUCUGUUUCAAUAAGAAUGAUUCCCCAGGCUGAGGCUGUGGCUCAGUGGUAGAAUGCUUGCCUAGCAUGUGUGAGGCACUGGGUUCGAUUCUAAACACCACAUAUAAAUAAAUAAAGGUUCAUCAACAACUAAUAAAAUAUUUUAAAAAAAAAGAAUUAUUCCCAUAAAAAUUCUAUGUGUUUUAGAAUUUUAUAUUGAAAGCUCCUCUUAGGCAAUCCCAAUAAGCAUACUGGAAAUUAAUAUAAAAAUUUGACAUUCAACUUCUAAGAAUUUAAAACAUCUCUAAGAUGAUGUACAAUCAAUCAACAAAUACAAGAAAAAAUGUUCAUCAUCACCAGCAAUUAGAGAGAUGCAAAUCAAAACCACUGUAAGAUUUCAUCUCAUUCUAGUCAGAAUGGCAGCUAUUAUGCCAAUAACAAAAGUGUUGGCGAGAAUGUGGGGGGAAAAGUACACUCACACACUGCUGGUGGGACUGCAAAUUGGUGCAGCCAAUAUGGAAAGCAGUAUGAAGAUUUCUUGGAAAAUUGGGAAUGGAACCACCAUCUGACCCAGCUAUUCCUCUCCUCAGUCUAUGCCCAAAGGACUUAAAAACAGCAUACUACAGGGACACAGCCACAUCAAUGUUUAUAGCAGCACAAUUCACUAUAGCUAAACUGUGGAAGCAACCUAGAUGUCCUUCAGUAGAUGAAUGGAUUUAAAAAAAUGUGGCAUUUAUACACAAUGGAAUAUUAGUCAGUAAUAAAAGAGAAUAAAAUCAUGGCACUUGCAGGUAAAUGGAUGGAAUUAGAGAAGAUAAUGCUAAGUGAAGUUAGCCAAUACCAAAAAACUAAAUGCUAAAUGUUUUCUUUGAUAUAAGGAGGCUGAUUCAUAGUGGGAUAGGGAGCAGGAGCAUGGGAGGAAUAGACAACUCUAGA